AACGAACGCUGGCGGCAUGCCUAACACAUGCAAGUCGAACGGGACCUUCGUGCCUAUUGGCGCACCGGUGCGUAACGACUGGGAACUUGCCCUUAGGUUCGGAACCACUCCCUGAAAGGGGUGCUCAUACCGGAUAAUGUCUUCGGACCAAAGAUUUAUGGCCUUUGGAUGGGGCCGCGUUGGAUUCGCUAGUUGGUAGGGUAAAAGCCUACCAAGGCGACGUUCCAUAGCUGGUCUGAGAGGAUGAUCAGCCCCACUGGGACUGAGACACGGCCCAGACUGCUACGGAAGGCAGCAGUGGGGAAUAUUGGACAAGGGGCGAAAGCCUGAUCCAGCAAUGCCGCGUGAGUGAUGAAGGCCUUAGGGUUGUGAAGCUCUUUUACCCGGGAUGAUAAUGACGGUACCGGGAGAAUAAGCUCCGGCUAACUCCGUG
rnacentral:rRNA from 1 species